rnacentral:rRNA from 1 species
CCUACGGGAGGCAGCAGUGAGGAAUAUUGGUCAAUGGACGCAAGUCUGAACCAGCCAUGCCGCGUGCAGGAAGACGGCUCUAUGAGUUGUAAACUGCUUUUGUACGAGGGUAAACUCAGAUACGCGUAUCUGUCUGAAAGUAUCUUACGAAUAAGGAUCGGCUAACUCCGUGCCAGCAGCCGCGGUAAUACGGAGGAUUCAAGCGUUAUCCGGAUUUAUUGGGUUUAAAGGGUGCGUAGGCGGUCGGGUAAGUUAGAGGUGAAAUCCCGAGGCUCAGCUUCGGAAUUGCCUCUGAUACUGUUCGGCUAGAGAGUAGUUGCGGUAGGCGGAAUGUAUGGUGUAGCGGUGAAAUGCUUAGAGAUCAUACAGAACACCGAUUGCGAAGGCAGCUUACCAAGCUACUUCUGACGUUGAGGCACGAAAGCGUGGGGAGCGAACAGGAUUAGAUACCCCAGUAGUC